UGGCUCUCGCAUCGAUGAAGAACGCAGCGAAAUGCGAUACGUAAUGUGAAUUGCAGAAUUUAGUGAAUCAUCGAAUCUUUGAACGCAUAUUGCACUCUUUGGUAUUCCGAGGAGUAUGCCUGCUUCAGUAUCAGAAAUAUACAAUCGAAGAAGUUUCUUCGGAUCUGGGUCGCGUAUGUAUCAUAUUCUCUCUCCGGAGAGACGUUUGUUGAGCAUACUGGCCUGAAAUUCAUGGUCUUGUCGCAGUUUUUUACACCUCGGCUCUUCAAAAAAAAGGCGUCAUAGUUGACCGUGGUCAUCUUUCGCUCUGUUGGAAAGCCGGUAUGGUACUGUGCUUGAUCGAUCGCAAUCAUCGCAAAUUGCAAAUUUUUUUUAAAUUUGAUCUGAAAUCAGGUAGGAUCACCCGCUGA
rnacentral:misc_RNA from 1 species